rnacentral:rRNA from 1 species
GACGAACGCUGGCGGCGUGCUUAACACAUGCAAGUCGAACGGAAAGGCCUGCUUUCCCUUGUGGAUUGCGGGUACUCGAGUGGCGAACGGGUGAGUAACACGUGAGUGAUCUGCCCCCAACUUGGGUAUAAGCCUGGGAAACUGGGUCUAAUUCCCGAUAGGACUGCAGGGUGGUGCCUGUGGUGGAAAACGAUUUUCUAGUGGUUGGGGAUGAGCUCGCGGCCUAUCAGCUUGUUGGUGGGGUAAUGGCCUACCAAGGCGGCGACGGGUAGCCGGCCUGAGAGGGGGGACGGCCACAUUGGGACUGAGAUACGGCCCAGACUCCUACGGGAGGCAGCAGUGGGGAAUAGUGCACAAUGGGCGGAAGCCUGAUGCAGCGACGCCGCGUGGGGGAUGACGGCCUUCGGGUUGUAAACUCCUUUCGACCGCGAGGAAGCCACCUGGUUGGAAGGGUGGUGACGGUAGUGGUAGAAGAAGCACCGGCUAACUACGUG